UUUUAUUAGGAUAAUUGCUGAAGACUCUGUGGACAAAGUCAGCUAAAUCACAGAGUGUUCUCGUGUCCAUCACCUCGCCUGACUGUUCUGGUGGUCUGUGAGGAAAGCAAGACCGAUGAUUUCCCCCACUUUACAGAGACAGCACCGUCUGAGUCCACCAGAUGGGCUUCUAAGCAGACUCAGGACCCAGCAGAUGGCAUGGAGACCAAGGCUGGCCGGGGAGGACCCCUG